CUCUUGUCCCCCAGAUCACCGCCGCUGCUUUUCUCACCAUCUUCACUAGCAGAUGUGCUCUUAUCACAGUCUAUUCCCGAAGACCGGCUAUCGUCGUCCUGCUCCUCUUUAAGGUCCUUCAUUGUGAUUUCACCGUUCGUGUUUUCAGGUAAAGAGCAGAAUUCAUGGUUCCAUCAAUUACAGCAAGUCGUCUAGGUCCUAACGUAGCAAAACAGGCCAAGAUCAUGACACUGCCACCACCAUGUUUGACUGUUGGGAUCGUCAAGAUGUUUAUUGGGAAAUGUGAGAUGGAUCUUGUGUUUUCACCUAUGAAAUCUCCUUAACUGAGGCCUGCAGUGCUUUAGAUAUUGUUUUUUAUUUUGUGUCCUGCCGGAUACGCUCUUGGAGUAUAUAUAUAUAUAUUUUAAGAUUUGUUUUGUGGCCCUAGAGUGCUUUAUUUUGUCAUUUUUCAAAAGUGGGCAUACAGGAAACGGGAGGAAGAGAGGGGGAAGACAUGCAGCACAGGCCACCAUGGCUGGGACCCGAAUCAGGGAACAGCUGCAUCGAGGACUGAAGCCUCUAAACAUGGGCCGGGCUGUACCGCUGCGCCAGCUCUUAAAGUCAUUUUGAUAGGCCGGUCACUCCUAGGAAGGUUCACCAUUGCUGCAUGUUCCUUCGACUUAUCAUAACUCUCACUGUGGUUCAUUGGAGACCCAAAUCUUUAGAAAUAGGUUUGCAACCCUUUACAGACAGAUAGAUGUGAAUGACUUUGUUUCUAACCUGUUUUUGGAUUAUUUCAUAUAAAGGCAUGUGUUGCUUUCUACAAUAGCAGUCAUCUGUCACAUUUUUUAAAGUUAAUUACAGUUGACCUGAUGGUUAGACAUGAGGUGGGAAUCACAUUUUCAUAGUUUUUGUACUUUAAUCAAUGAAAUCAUAAUAUGAAAACUGCUUUUUGUAUUUACUCAGGUUAUCUUUGUUAAAUCUUAAGCUUUGUUCGAUGAUCUGACCAUGUCAAUGUUAAUACUUUUCACAGCAAAUAAUUUUCUAAAUGCAAAUGGUCACUUGUCUGUGUCCUCUAAGUUUAGGCAUAAAGCCUAAUUAUGGAAUCUGCUUAGACAGAUUUUGUAGCUGCAACAGACUUCUUUAUGUACAGGAUGUUUCUUAUCAAUUCCUGAACAGAAAUGUCCACGCUGCUGCAUAAAUGUACGUCCAUCAACACGUGU